AUCUGGCUGGCUCAGUUGGUAGAGCAUGUAACUCUUAAUUUCAGGGUCGUGAGUUCAAGCUCCAUGUUGGGUG
rnacentral:tRNA from 1 species